rnacentral:rRNA from 1 species
GCUCUAGCAAUAGAGAGUGGCGCACGGGUGAGUAACGCGUGGGAAUGUACCGUUUAGUGGGGGAUAACCAAGGGAAACUUUGGCUAAUACCGCAUACGCCCUUCGGGGGAAAGAUUUAUCGCUAAACGAUCAGCCCGCGUGAGAUUAGGUAGUUGGUGGGGUAAUGGCCUACCAAGCCGACGAUCUCUAGCUGGUCUGAGAGGAUGAUCAGCCACACUGGAACUGAGACACGGUCCAGACUCCUACGGGAGGCAGCAGUGGGGAAUAUUGGACAAUGGGGGCAACCCUGAUCCAGCCAUGCCGCGUGAGUGAUGAAGGCCUUAGGGUUGUAAAGCUCUUUUACCGAUGAAGAUAAUGACGGUAGUCGGAGAAAAAGCCCCGGCUAACUUCGUGCCAGCAGCCGCGGUAAUACGAAGGGGGCUAGCGUUGUUCGGAUUUACUGGGCGUAAAGCGUGCGUAGGUGGUCUCGUAAGUCAGUGGUGAAAUCCCGGAGCUUAACUCCGGAACUGCCAUUGAAACUGCGAGGCUUGAAUCUCAAAGGGGGUGGCGGAAUUCCUAAUGUAGGGGUGAAAUCCGUAGAUAUUAGGAGGAACACCGAUGGCGAAGGCAGCCACCUGGGUGAGUAUUGACACUGAGGCACGAAAGCGUGGGGAUCAAACAGGAUUAGAUACCCUGGUAGUCCACGCCAUAAACGAUGAAUGCUAGUUGUUGGGGGCUUCGCCCUCAGUGACGACGCUAACGCAUUAAGCAUUCCGCCUGGGGAGUACGGUCGCAAGAUUAAAACUCAAAGAAAUUGACGGGGACCCGCACAAGCGGUGGAGCAUGUGGUUUAAUUCGAGGCAACGCGAAGAACCUUACCAGGCCUUGACAUGUCCUCUUUGAUCGCCAGAAAUGGCUUUCNUCACUUCGGGUGGGAGGAACACAGGUGCUGCAUGGCUGUCGUCAGCUCGUGUCGUGAGA